rnacentral:SRP_RNA from 1 species
GCUGGGCGUGGUGGCGCAUGCCUGUAAUCCCAGCUACUCAGGAGGCUGAGGCAGGAGAAUCGCUUGAAUCCGGGAGGCAGAGGUUGCGGUGAGCUGAGAUUACGCCAUUGUACUCAGCCUGGGCAACAAGAAUGAAGCUCCGUCUCAACAAAAAAAGAAUUCUCCUAUUGCAUUUGAUUGAUGUAUCUCUCGAGGCUCUUUUUUUUUCCUUUGAGACAGAGUCUCGCUCUGUUACCCAGGCUGGAGUGCAGUGGCACAAUCUCGGCUCACUGCAGCCUCUGCCUCCUGGGUUCAAGUGAUUCUCCUGUGUCAG